rnacentral:rRNA from 1 species
AGAGUUUGAUCAUGGCUCAGAACGAACGCUGGCGGCAUGCCUAACACAUGCAAGUCGAACGAGACCUUCGGGUCUAGUGGCGCACGGGUGCGUAACGCGUGGGAAUCUGCCCUCUGGUACGGAAUAACUCAGGGAAACUUGAGCUAAUACCGUAUAAUGACUUCGGUCCAAAGAUUUAUCGCCUGAGGAUGAGCCCGCGUCGGAUUAGCUAGUUGGUGAGGUAAAAGCUCACCAAGGCGACGAUCCGUAGCUGGUCUGAGAGGAUGAUCAGCCACGCUGGGACUGAGACACGGCCCAGACUCCUACGGGAGGCAGCAGUGGGGAAUAUUGGACAAUGGGCGAAAGCCUGAUCCAGCAAUGCCGCGUGAGUGAUGAAGGCCUUAGGGUUGUAAAGCUCUUUUACCCGGGAUGAUAAUGACAGUACCGGGAGAAUAAGCCCCGGCUAACUCCGUGCCAGCCGCCGCGGUAUAC